UAGGGAAUCUUCCACAAUGGACGCAAGUCUGAUGGAGCAACGCCGCGUGAGUGAAGAAGGUUUUCGGAUCGUAAAGCUCUGUUGUUGGUGAAGAAGGAUAGAGGUAGUAACUGGCCUUUAUUUGACGGUAAUCAACCAGAAAGUCACGGCUAACUACGUGCCAGCAGCCGCGGUAAUACGUAGGUGGCAAGCGUUGUCCGGAUUUAUUGGGCGUAAAGCGAGCGCAGGCGGAAGAAUAAGUCUGAUGUGAAAGCCCUCGGCUUAACCGAGGAACUGCAUCGGAAACUGUUUUUCUUGGGUGCAGAAGAGGAGAGUGGAAUUCCAUGUGUAGCGGUGGAAUGCGUAGAUAUAUGGAAGAACACCAGUGGCGAAGGCGACUCUCUGGUCUGCAACUGACGCUGAGGCUCGAAAGCAUGGGUAGCGAACAGG
rnacentral:rRNA from 1 species